GGUGCUGUCGCCCACAGAACUUUCGCUCGUGAAGAAAAGGUACAUUUACCUUCAGACCACUUUACAAAAGAGAAAGAAAAAACAAAGGAAAAGAGAAAAGGGACUGUAAUGGCCUUUUAUUGCAAAGUGAUAAGAGACAAUUUUGUUUUGCAGGCAGUAGUUUGUCAUAAAAAGUCAAUCCUGAAAUUAGCAAAGUAGAUUUAUCAGUGAUUUCCUGCAGUUUCUUCUAGAAGGAUCAGCUCAUCCGAUUAUCCAUUCAUGUUGUUUUUGGGUCCUGAGAUUACCUUGAGGCUGCUCUUUUCCAGAAAUAAAUCUUCAAGUGGGUAGGGGUUUUGCAGCAGACUUUUUACCGUGCGAAGUCUAAUGGCUUAGUGUGGGCUGGGCAGACUGUGUAAAGGGAGAGCAUUGUCUGUGAAGUUAGUGAAUAUUUGGGGUUUGCAGCCUUUGCAGUCUCUGCUGCAAGCACUCAGUUCUCUCGUGUUGCGAAAGCAGCCAUGGUAAUAUGUGUAUGCAUGGGCCUGGCUGUGCGCCAAUAAAACUUUAUUUAUGGACACCAAAAUUUGAGUUUUAUGUAGUUGUUUCGCAUGUUGUGAAUACUAUUCUUUUUAUCUUUUUUUCUCCCAACCAUUUAAAGUUUAAAAACCAUCUUUAUCGCUCAGUAACUAUACAAAAGCUACAGGGGGAGGGGGUGGGAUUUGGCCUCAGAGUUGCCAUUUGCUGACUGCAGUUUAGCUGAAGGUUGUGACUUCCAGGAGAUGUAUCAACUCUAGAAUUAUGGAAUUCCAGGGGCCGGCGCUGUGGCGCAGCAGGUUAACGCCCUGGCCUGAAAUGCCGGCAACCCAUAUGGGCACCGGUUCGAGACCCGGCUGCUCCACUUCCAAUCCAGCUCUCUGCUAUGGCCUGGGAAAACAGUAGAGGAUGGCCCAAGUCCUUGGGCCCCUGCGCCUGCGUGGGUAUCAUGGAGGAAGCUCUUGGCUCCUGGCUUCGGAUUGGCGCAGCUUCGGCCGUUGCAGCCAAUUGGGGAGUGAACCAUUGGAUGGAAGAUCUCUCUCUCUCUGCCUCCCCUCUCUCUGUGUAAUUCUGACUUGCAAAUAAAUAAAUAAAUCUUUAAAAAAUAUCUAAAAAAAGAAUUAUGGAAUUCCAGAACUGGAAGGAACCUGAGACUUCUAAUCUCUGAGAAAGCAGAAGCCGGGAGUGGCUAAGUGAUUUAUCCAAAGUGAAUACCACUCACUGCCAUCCAAGUAAGUGUGAGCUCAAAUUGACUCGCCGUUGUGUGUGUGUGGGAGGGAGCAUGCAAGGGGCCUGUUAUGUCCACUUUGUUUCACAUGGGAUUUAGUGUGUAGUUCAUUGGGGCAAGAAAUGAGUGAAAAUUCAGAUAAGCCAUUUAGGGGCUUCAUUGGUGGCUGAGGUUGAUAAGGUGAAUGGAAGAAGAGUUUUGAAAAGAAGCUGGCAUAGUACAGCUCCCAGGCAUUGCAAGCAUUAGAUUUUUUGUCCUCCUUAAAAGAACAUUAUAGUUCUGCAUUUGGAUUUUGGACAGGCACAGAGGGGAGAGAGAAAGAGUGUGUGUGAGAGAGAGAGAGCGAGCGAGUGCUGAGUGAAGAAUCAAAAUCUCUAUGUUCCUAAGGUGUUUUGCAGACCACCUGGUACCCUUUGUAGAGCUUUGGGAAGCUUCCUAAAGAACGGGAACUCACAGGCCAUAGUUAAAGAUGAUUGCUAUAGUGCUUAAUUGAGCCAGGGACAAGGACUCAGUAUUUGGACCUUCAAGCCAAAAUAUGUAUUAAUUACAUAACAAACAGACUUCAAUCUAGACGCUUCUCCUGUAACCUAAAAUAGGUGAACUAUUUGACCAUUUCUUUUUUUUUUUUUUCCAGGCGGAGUGGACAGUGAGAGAGAGAGAGAGACAGAGAGAAAAGUCUUCCUUUUGCCGUUGGUUCACCCUCCAAUGGCCUCCAUGGCCGGCGCGCUGUGGCCGGCGCACCGAGUUGAUCCGAUGGCAGGAGCCAGGUGCUUCUCCUGGUCUCCCAUGCGGGUGCAGGGCCCAAGUACUUGGGCCAUCCUCCACUGCACUCCCUGGCCACAGCAGAGAGCUGGCCUGGGAAGAGGGGCAACCGGGACAGAAUCCCGCACCCUGACCGGGACUAGAACCCUGUGUGCCGGCGCCGCUAGGCGGAGGAUUAGCCUAGUGAGCCACGGCGCAAGCCUUUGACCAUUUCUAACCACAGCAACAGAGCAGUAUGACAACCUCUCUCCUCUGCUGCCAGCCCCCCCCCCCAUUGCUUCCUCCCCUUUUCCUCAAUAUUUACGGGUUUAAUAGAAGCAAGUCAUCGACCUAAGUGUGGAUGUUGUGGCCCCUUGAAUGUCUCAAGCUAAUACAUCCCUCACUGAAUUAUCAGCAAGGCCCUAAUUUUGCCUCCUGGGCAACUCACCUCAUCCUGGUCGCAGGCCUGAUUUGCAGACUUCAACUUGAGAGCCUUGAAUCCUGUAGCACUCAUGCUGGGUGAUCAGGCAGCUUGCACUGGCGUUCUGCCCCUGACAUGCUCUGGGAGUUUGGGAGGCUUAGCCUCCCCAGUCUCACCUAGUUUUUUACUAAUUUUUCUCUUCUUGCUCCUUCUCUUCCUUGCUGGGGUACUGUGUGAACAGAAGAGAUGAUAAACCAGAUUUUCUGAGUUCUUAAGUUACUCCCUGGGAAUAAUUUAUAUUGCACAUGUUCUUUCCAGCCUCUGGGGUGCUAUUUGGUAAAUUACAGCCCUCCUGCAGUGCUGUAAGUGGGACCCUACUGACCUGAAAGAGUUAAUGCCUCCUUUCAAGCAAUUAACUCACUCCUGGGGCAUAAUUCACACUCUGGGAGGAUCUGGCCGGCCAUAUGUGAACUGCUCAGAAUUCUUUGAAAGAAGUCAAAGAAGUGGGCUCUAGAAAUGUAAAGAAUUAAUAUUACACAAGGAGCGUUUGCCGGGCAUUCUUCAAGGAAUCAGUCGUGUCACUUUCCAGAACGAUCCUGUGAGGUAGGUCAUGGUAUCCUUUCCAGAGUCCUCUAGCCAAUGAAGAAUCAGUCCAGUCUGAGGUUCGGUAAUAACAUGUUUGUCGAAUGUCCUCAUCGUUCGGAAAUAAUGGGUAAAAGACUGGGAAGUAAGUAGGUACGUUUUAGAAAUCUGAGUCAAAAACAAAGCCUGAAAGUAAGGUCCAUGUAAUCUGUACCUGCCUUACCAUCUUGAAUGGUAGGAACGGGACCUAAAUAUAACAGAUUAUUUUUUAAAAUGCAAACUCAGGAGCACUCACAUUUUGGAAUGUGGUAUCUUUCAAGGAAACCGUCUGAGGAGACUGUAUGUUGCAUUAUGCAACUAUUACUCAAAACACUUUUAUAACUGUGGACAUAGUUGUUCAUCCAUCAACAAGUAACAUUUAGGUGUCCCCAUGCAGCCCUGUACUGGCCGUUGUUAAGGGACAAAAAAGCAAGAGAUGGGAUCUCGAUGUUCUAGAGUGGCAGUUACUGGAAUUUUGAGGAUGGGUUUAAUUUUAGGCAAAACCUGAACCGUCUGAAAUCAUUCCUAGUGAAAGAGGUGGGUUAGAAGCAGAAGAACAUAAUUUAGAGACGGUUCUUCUGGUAGGGCUUGGUGGUAAAUUGCAGUGAGAGCCGAGAUUCUUUUCUUCCAGUCCUCUUCAUUCAUGCUCUCUGCUCGGUGACUUCACAGUUCCUCUUACUAAGUGAUGGCGUCUGUUUCCCCAUCUCAUGAAUCUGAACUGGCACUGUGCCUUGUUUGGCCAGUAGAAUGCAGUGGGACUAAGGGUAUGCCAGUUUUGAGUCAAGACCCAUGAGGUUAACAGUUUUCCUCUUUUUUUACACACCUCUGUCAUGACCACCAGAAUGUACCCGAGCCAGCCUGCUGAAGGACAAGAGAAGUAUAGAGUAGAGCAGCAGUGUCCUGUUUGUCCCAGCCAAGGUCAGUUUAAAUCAGCUGAGAUCCAGCUGACCCGUGUACCCUUGCCACCGACAUGUAAGUGAGCCUGGUGAAGUUCAGAUGUGCUGCCUUGCUGACCACUCUGGAUUUGUUCCAUGAAUAGAGCUGCUCCUCGAUUUAUGAUGAGGUUACAUCUCGAUCAAAUCAUUGUAAGUUAAAAUAUCUUAAGUCAAGAAAUGUAUUCAGUACACCUAAUGUACUGAACAUCAUAGCUUAGCCUCACUUCCCUUAAGCAUGCCCAGGACACUUACACUGGCCUAUAGUUGGGCAAAAAAAGAAAAUCAUCUAACAUAAAGUCUGUUUUAUGUUGUGUGUGGUAACCCUGUGAUUGUGUGGCUGACUGGAGGCCAUGGCUUGCUGCCAUUGCCCAGCACAGCGAUAGAAAAUCACCAGCCCAGGAAAAGAUCAAAAUUCGAAGUAUGAUUUCCACCAAGUGUGUAUCGCCUUUGCACCAUGAUACAGUUGAAAAAAUCAUUAAAUCAAGCCAUUGUAAAUUGGGGACUGUCUGUAUUUGUUGUAUGCCACUGAGAUUUCGUGGAUCUUGGGCAGUAUGGUAAUGGCAAAAGGUAAUGGCUUGUUGACUGGUUCCACAAGAGAAACUCCCAAUGCUGAACAACUGCAACGUUCCUUUAACAGGUGAAUGGUAUCUCCGGGUGACUGCUGGGAAACUGUAACAUACAUUUCCUCUUGCACUUUGUACUAGUUGUAUGCGAUGGCUCUGUUAGAGCAAACGUUCUUUGAAGGAGAAAAGUCUUUCCUAGCAACCCCAAGUAGACUUCUCUUCACAUGUCAUUGGUCAACACUGGUUCACCUGCUCAUCCUAGACCGUUCACCGGCAACGGAGAAGAGGAUGCGUGUGUCUGGUUUAUAGAUCACUCCAUGACUCAGCUUCUGGAAUUGGGCACAAAGUCACAUGGAUUGUCAGGGUUCUGCCAGCAAGGAGGAUGGGGGAGCAAUGAAUGCUGUGUCCUGUUCUUUUUUCUUCCCUGUUACAAGCUGUGUUUGGUGUCGGGCUGGGAGACAGCUGAUAAGCUAAACCCCUAGGAAUGCUCCAGGCACCAUAUAUGCUGUCCUCACAGGUACAUACAGAUGAAGGCCACCGUGGCUCGCUGACAGCACCAGGCUGUGAACCGAGACUGCGCCAGGACAGAAUCUCCACAUCCACCAUCACUAAUCUGAGAAGGAUGCAGAAGGGCGAAAUCUGAGGGUCGUCUCCAUAGGACUUUUUUUUUAAGAUUUAUUUUAUUUUAUUUGAAAGAGUUACACAGAAAGAGAAGGAGAGGCAGAGAGAGAGAGAGAGAGAGAGAGAGAGAGAAAGUCUUCCAUCUGCUGGUUCACUCCCCAAAUGGAUGCAACAGUCAGAGCUGGAUCAAUCUGAAGCCAGGAGCCAGGAGCCUCCUCUGGGUCUCCCACGUGGGUGCAGGGGCCCAAGGACUUGGGCCAUCUUCUACUGCUAUCCCAGGUCAUAGCAGAGCGCUGGAUUGGAAGUGGAGCAGCCGGGUGUCAAACCAGUGCCCAUAUGGGUUGCCGGCAUUUCAGGCCAGGGCGUUAACCUGCUGCGCCACAGCACUGGCCCCUCCAUAUCACUUUUGAACAUAACUAGAAAGGACCAAUUUGAUCUUCAAAUAUUAUGUAUAAUGGUAAAAUGUUCCCUUUUCUGAUUAGUUUCUUCAUUGUGAAAUCCAAUACUGAAGGCACCCAUAUAGGUGUGUCUUGUUUUCAGAAAGCUCAGUUGGAUUCAAAAUCUAAAUUCACAAACCACAAAUUGGAGGAGAGUGUGAAUUUUAAAAAGAUUAUUCAUUUUAUAGGAAAAUUUAUCUUAAAAUUCCUUUAAAAAGUGAAAUAUGUUAGUACACUUUAAAUAAUUUCAUUGAUGAAAUGUUUCCAUAUACCUUAUUUUAGUUUAUAUUGUGUUUUGUGCAAUGCAUCUAUUAUAGUGCAUUGAGCCAGUUAGAGCUAGAAAUUGAUUAAUUGAAAAAUCACAUGUAAAGUAAUAAUUUUGAAUAUAAUGUGCACUAUUGUAAGCUAAACUAAACAUUUUAGGGUUUUAAGGUUGCAUAGCAAAUGAUUUUCCCCAAGGAAUUAAAUUCCUAUUCCAAAAAUCAACUUCUAUUCCCCCCUCCAAAAAAAACCACACCCUGUUCAUAUAGGUUAAUAUCAUACAGUGCAGAUAUUCCUCCAUUGUGUAGGAGGUUGAAUCAAAGGUCUCUCAAGAUUCUUUUAUUCUACUGAGUUCUGUUUGAACUUGACAUUCCCUUUCUUUUCUUAAAUACUGCAAUCCUGUGAUUAUAGUAGAAUCAUCUUUAUAACCAAGUUCCACGUUCACAGCCCACUGUUCAUAUACUCAUUUAUCCAUUAAUUUGUUUAUUUAAAAUUUGAGACAGAAAGACACAGGAAAGAGAGAGAAAGAGAGAGAGAGAGAGAGAGAGAGAGAGAGAGAGAGAAAACACUCUAGCCUGCUUUUUUUCUUGUCAACUUCUUGCAACAGCUGGGGCUGGGCCAAACUUGAAGCCAGACCUGGGAAUGCCAUCCAGGUGUCCGAUGUGAGUGGCAGGAACUCAAUUACUUGACAUUACUGUUGCCACCCAUUGUCUGGGUCAGCAGGGGCAGGGACUCAGGAGCCAGAGCUGGGAAUUGAACCUGGGUAUUCCAAUGUGAGACAGAAGCAUUUUAACCACUAGACUAAAUGCUCACUCUGUGUACAUUCAUUUAGAAAAAUCUCAUACUUGGCCCAUGCUCUCUUGGAAUGUAUUACCUAGAUGAGGAGGUGAAUAGUAAACAUUUGUGUGAUAUAUCACUGCCCCCAGAUUUGUGCCCUGAAGAAAGGAACACUAUGGAAAGCCAGAAUGAAGGAGACUGGCCUUGACUGGGAUCAGGGAAAAUGUUGAGGUAGCAGUAUUUGAGGUGAGAACUGAAGUGUGACCAGGAGUUAAGCAGGGGAAAGGUGCAGAGUGGGAUGAAGAGAGUGUUCCUGACGGAGGUGCAGUGGGUGUGCAGCCUGCUCAUCCGUCCGUCCAUCCGUCCACCUGUCUCUCCUUUCCUCUAUCCAGUUUUGCAAAGCAGUAUGCUACCAGGUGAUCACGGAGAUGCACAUAAAUGGAAAUUGUUGGCCUUUUCUAAGGCCAUGAGUCCAUAGCCUUAGAAAAUUCUGUUUGUAAACAAAAUCUUCAGAAAAUGUUAGGAGGUUAUUUUAGGUCCUAAUAGACAAGAGGGUGUUUUGACACUUGCUCUUGCUCUCAUGGAGAUGGGAGCUGGCCGUGCAAACACCCAGAGGGGCUUUGGCCCAGCAGGGGAGGCACAGUGUACAGAGAGAAGACACACGUGCCAGCAGCAGGGCAGUGCUCCCCUGGGAAUUGAAUUUGCAGUUAAAAACUGAAAAAUCUUGCCUGAACUGAGGAAAUUAUUUAAGUUUAUAAUGAAUUGUUUUUUUCCUAGUACUUUAAAGAUGAACCCAAAAAAGCAAAAUUCAGUAUUUUUAAAAAAUAAGAAUUAAACUGGUAUCUAUUCAUUUUUUAAAGAUUUAUUUGUUAUUUAAUUGAAAGGCAGAGUUAUAGAAAGAGGGGGAGAGCGAGAGUGAGCAAGCUUUCAUCUGCUGGUUCUCUCCCUACAUGGCUGCAAUGGCUGGGGCUGGGCCAGGCCAUAGCCAGGAGCCUGGAACUCCUUCUGGGUUUCCUACACGGGUGCAGGGGCCCUAGGACUUGGGCUAUCCUCUGCUGUUUUCCAAGGUGCAUUAACAGGGAGCUGGAACUGGAACUGGUACCCAUAGCGGAUGCUGGCAGUGCAGGCAGUGGCUUAACUGCUGUCCACAACGCUGGCCCUAAAUUGGUGUCUAUUCUACACAGAGAGAUUUCAUCAUAUCAUUGUGACCUCCAAGAAUGGUUGCUCAGACUGAAAUCAGUGGUAGUUUGGGGGCUCGCUUUUAGUGAUCAGCAGAUCUUUUGCAGCUGCUGUCAGGUUAAUGGUCAGUGUUCCACUGAGUUCACAGAAUUUUGACCUUACUUUUAUACCUGGAAAUAAGCUUGGAGAUAAACGUAGAAUACCUCUCCCCUCAUUUUACAUAAGAAGAAAUGGAAAGCAAGAUGGGAGUAGCCAACUGACAACUUAACUGCAACCUUAAGAGACCUGGGCAGAAGACCAAGGUCAGCCAUCAUGCCUGGACUCCUGACCUGCAAAAAAUUUGAGAGAUUCAUAGUGAAAGAGUGGAGACCGCGAGGUUGGACUUGGGUUAAAUCUCCCCUUUCCUGCUGACAAGUUACUGAACCUCUCCUCCUCUGUUGUGAAGACAAAAGAAGAUAAAGCGCCUCUGAAAUUCCAGGAAGAAGGUGAAAGAAUAACAUUGCGCACAGCCCCGGGGUUUGCUGUGUUUACUCCGUGAUGGACCACUCACUUGGGCUUAACCUUCAACUGACCUCUCUAAUUCCAGACAAGACGACAGAGCUUUGCUGAACAGAUGCAAAAUAAAGGAACAGAAACAGCUUGCUUCCCUGGCCAAGGAUGUUUUCCAUUC